GUACUCACUUCAGCAGCAUAUAUACUAAAAUUGGAAUGAUACAGAGAAGAUUAGCACAGCCCCUGAGCAAAGAUGACACACAAAUUCAUGAAGCUUUUGCUAUUGUU
ensembl:snRNA U6 U6 spliceosomal RNA